rnacentral:hammerhead_ribozyme from 1 species
AUCCAACUGACGAGUCCCAAAUAGGACGAAGUGACGAGCGUCCUUGAU